AAUAUUGCCUAUAACAUAAUCACAUUGCAAAUAUCCUAUAUAUCUGCAGCCAUAACAACAUCUUUCAAAUUCUACAAUUUUAUCCUGAUGGUAGCAGUGCCUUUGGUAGUUCUUGCGUCUGGUUGCUCCAAUGCCAGCAAAACAGUGGAUGAGCUACUUCCCUUUCAGUCUAUAACCGCUGGAGAGACAGUGAAAAUGGCUGAGCUCCUGCUUAUACAUAGGUUUCAAAUGAUGUUUUAUCUUGUGUUCCUUUCUCAAACAUACUACUAUUUUUUUAUAUAAAUGGGGGUCGGAUAUGAUAUGAUAUGUUCAUUUGCAGGGUUGGGGGGAUCGGAUCCCUAGGGGCAGAGAUGCAGUCCUCUAGAGCUGUUGGGAAGAACAAGAUGGGUAAGCUCCUCCUAUUGCUCUUCUAUGUUGAUUUAGUAGAAGAAAAUAAAAUUAGGAAGAGUAUCUGUAGAUCUAUUUUGAUGCUCUCAGUCUCAUUCAUGAUUUAUCCUGUAGCUAAGUCUCUUUCAUGUGCAUAUCCUAUGUUUAGUGAAUUGCCCGCUAGCUGUUGAUUUACUCUUUGUUGUAAAUUGGUUAGAAAAAAAUACUUUAUUACCAUGGUUCUGAUUGUGCACCUUUUUGGCUUAGAAAAAAGAAUAAUUUCUUGAGCAUGAGCAACUGAUUCGCAAGCUGAUUGCAGGUACUGAUUUCCGUCUUGGCUCCAUGCAAUGACUCAGCGAUCGAUUCGAUCCAAUUUUUUGAGCUCAUAUCAAAAUAUUUCUUGAGCAGCAUGCCUUGAGUAUAUUGGACUCAAUUGUGAUCUAUAUCAGGUGAGUAAAUCAUGCUCAGUAAUAUAAUUAUGUUGUAAACUAGAGAAAGAUGGUGAUGUUUUAAUUAUCGAGGUUGUACACCUGUAUAGCUAAUGAUGGUGUACUCUUAUGUUAGCUAAAACUGCUUCUGCUGUGUAGUUCAUCUGACCAAAUUUUUAUGGACAUAAAAACAUAUAUUGAUAUGCGAUAUUUUACCGAAUACAAAAACAACAUCAGCAUGACAAACUGUCAUGCUGAUUUAAUCCCUCCCCCAUUUCUUUUGAUUUAAUUCCUAGAAUCCCAUUGUUGUUUGUGCAUAUUAUCUACGCCCAUCGCCCAUAUUUUCUAUUUUCAUGUUCAUUGAUAUGCGAUAUUGUGCUGAUUACAAAAACAGCAUCAACAUGUCAGAUUGUCAUAUGAGAAAUAUAAGAUAAAAGAAUAGUCUGUUGCUUCUCUCCGAUUGCACAUGGAUACUUCAAUUUUGAGGUGCACUUGUGGUUUUAGUUAUGACAUAAUCUUGGUUGACUGAAGAAUUAGUUCUGAUGAACUGUCAGGGUGCUUAGUUCAGUUAAAAAGAUCAUGCAAUGUUGUCGUUCUCUCAAAGCAUUUGUUCAGUUCAGUGAGUGGGCUUAUUUCGGGUUAUAUUUUGUGGGUGGCAGGAUGUUUGCUGUGGUUCCUAUAUACAUAUGUUGGAUGUGGUUGCCUGCCGGUGUUGCCAUUCCAUUUGUACUUGAGAGUGAUCAUGGACGAUGGGGUCGUGCUCGGAGGAGUCGAACUCGAAAUUGAUGUGUCUGGAAGCGAUUCCCUGACUAUGAGGAGGUUUUUUGGGCUCAAGACGGUGUAGAUUCUUUCUCGCUUUACAGGAAGGCCACUUUCCAAGCUUUUGCUUUUUCCAGAGUUUGUAUGGGCUUGUAAUGUAGGACUAUAAUUAUGAGUGUAUGUCGAUUUAUAGGUAGCUUGCUCGCUCUGCAGUUCUUUUAGCUUUUUAGCUGCGACGUUGGUUUGGCCUACAAUGCCUGUUGGUUGUGUUGAUG
rnacentral:lncRNA from 1 species